rnacentral:rRNA from 1 species
GACAGAGGGAUGCAAGCGUUAUUCGGAAUCACUGGGCGUAAAGGAGCGACGUAGGCGGUAUAGUAAGUUUGGGAGUGAAAGGCCCAGGGCUUAACCCUGGAACUGCUCUCAAACUACUAACUAGAGAUCAAUAGGGGAUAGCGGAAUUCCUAGUGUAGAGGUGAAAUUCUUAGAUAUUAGGAGGAACACCGGAGGCGAAGGCGGCUAUCUGGGUUGAUCUGACGCUGAGGUGCGAAAGUGUGGGUAGCAACAGG